GUCCACGCCGUAAACGAUGUCGACUAGCCGUUGGGCCCUUAUGGGGCUUAGUGGCGCAGCCAACGCAUUAAGUCGACCGCCUGGGGAGUACGGCCGCAAGGUUAAAACUCAAAAUGAAAUUGACGGGGGCCCGGCACAAGCGGUGGGAGCAUGUGGUUUAAUUCGAUGCAACGCGAAGAACCUUACCUGCCCUUGACAUCCUGCGAACUUUCCAGAGAUGGAUUGGUGCCUUCGGGAGCGCAGAGACAGGUGCUGCAUGGCUGUCGU
rnacentral:rRNA from 1 species